UAAUUUCUUCAUCCAUGUACCAAUCGAUCUACAACAAGCUAAGAGCACAUUCAGCUAUUAGCUUUCAUUUUGCUCUCCUUGCAUAGUAUUCUCGAUCGGCCAUGGACAGAUCACUGUCUACUUCACUGCUUCUUGUCCUCGCCCAUUUCAUCAUCAUCUUUGCUCAUCUUUUGGAUGCACGAACACUAGGAGACGCAUACCAACCACACGUACAUGCGUCGUCGUCGUCGGCGGCGGCGUUGCGGCUGUGGAGCAGCGCGGAUGCCGACGGUGGCGCGCUGGCGAAGUCGUCGCCGCGCGCUCCGCCGCCGCCGAGGUCAUCACAUUCGCCAACGCCGCGCUGGCAUGACGGAGAUGGCGCGCCGGCGAGGUGGCCGGCGGCGGCUGCUCCUCCUCCUCCGUUUGCAGGAGAUGUCGUUGGCCAACCUGUGCUCUCCCCAAGCCGCCCGGCAGUGUACACGGCUUAGUUACGAGGUCGUAAUCUUUGAUCAAUUCGAGGUGUUGUACUGCUCGCUGACAUAUGAGCACGAGAUCAUAUGUUAUUAAUGUCAAUGAUUAGUACUCCA